UUGGCUCUAUCUAUAUACAACCGCGGCCAGAGCUCGUCCCGCGGCCGCCGCCGCCGCUGCUAUCGCAACCCCCAGCCGCCCGCUUCUCCCUCCCACGGGGUGAGAGCAAGAGGAGCCGCGCCGGCGAGCGAGCUCCCCCGCCGCGAUGAGGGCCAAGUGGAAGAAGAAGCGGAUGAGGCGGCUCAAGAGGAAGCGUCGAAAGAUGAGGCAGAGAUCCAAGUAGACGGAUUGGCCUUGUCUGCAGUUGGUUUGCAGUUUACUGAUCAAUUCUAGUUUUCCUUAGUACACGGAGUUGUAAUGUAUCUGAAACCAUUGCAGCCAGUGUGCGUCUGUUUUGUAAUGAAUACAAUGAUCAUCUGAAAUUCUGAAUAUGGUUCCAAAACAUUUUUCUGAGAAUAAUCCUCGCAGGACAUGUUUGUUUU